UACGUAGGUGGCAAGCGUUACUCGGAAUCACUCGGCGUAAAGCGCAGGUAGGAGGUUUGGUAAGUCCGUUGUGAAAGCUCCCGGCUUAACUGGGAGAGGCCAACGGAAACUACCAGGCUAGAGUGUGGUAGAGGUAGCUGGAAUUCCCGGUGUAGAGGUGAAAUUCGUAGAUAUCGGGAGGAACACCAGUGGCGAAGGCGGCGACCUGGACCGAUACUGACGCUGAGACACGAAAGCGUGGGGAGCAAACAGG
rnacentral:rRNA from 1 species